AAGCGGCUGGGAGUGGGGGGAGGCCGCGGCGGCGGCGCGGCGGGGGGAGGCAGGGCGGGCAGGGGCGGCGGCGGCGGGGCCGGCGGGGCCGGGGCCGGGGCCGGGGCCGGGGCCGGAGCCGGAGCCGGAGCCGGAGGGGCGGGCGGCAGCGUAUCCCAGCGGUGGGGGAGAGCGGACAUGCAGCAUCCACCUGCCGGCCUCCCUGUGCACUGGGCCACCUCAAGCCCUCGCUAGGAUGAAGUACCUCUGGGAUAACCCUGAAGUUAGAGGGCCAAGAAAUACAGCUUUCCUUGUCAUGCUGUUUUCUGCUAGGAUGGUUGCCCGCUUCGGCUACACUGGCUGAAAGGAGGGCAAGAAGAAGGAGAACUGUGCAGCAAGAGUAGGCAAAGCAAAUGCUGUGGGAUCAGGGCCUGCAGGCUGCAAAUGCUGAUGAGCUUCCAGGGGACUUGCAGGGUGUGUUUGCACGGCACAGGAGUGUGCUGCUGUGAGCAGCAGGACCUUGCCAUCCUUGACACCAAAACUUUGAUUCUGCUUAUGCAAGUCCAAGAAAGCAUGCUUGGAGAUUGGUUUUGCUUUUUAAAAAAAAAAAAAUAUGGGAGGGGAUGAACUACAUUUUUUGUGCACCUCCUUUUCUCAGCUGCUUUCCUGUACAGCCUUGGGAAAAUCAUGUCUGCCUUGGUUUCACCCUCUGUAAAAUGGGGAUAAUAAUAAUGACAGACCCCUGCUUUUAGAUUGCUGGAUCAAAGGUGCUAUGUAAGUUCAAAGUGCUGUUUCUAUAGGGUAUUAUUGCCAAAUUCACUAUCAGCAAUUCCAUUGGGCACUUGAUAACAACAGUAGAAUCAGUCAAACGCCCUUGAUGCAUUGCAUGGUCCCAGAUACCUUUCAGAGCCUCUUUGUGUGCCAUCCCACCCCCUGAGGUCUGCAAGGAUGGGGCUUUUGGAGCCUGGAUUUUGCAGAAGCAGGAGGGGUAUAGUCUGUGUCUUUGCUUCUGGCCCCUGAAGUAUGGACCGCUUUUCUUUUUGACCUGAUGAGGACUGCUGGAACUAGCCCAUUUAAAAACAGGUUUAAAACAUGGAACUUUUUUUAUAUAAAUAUAUAUAUAUAUAAAUUUCAUAAGGCCUUUAGCACAUAAUGCUAAGCUCUUGUUGAUUUUGAGUUGUUUUACUCUUGCAUGGUUUGUUGUAAUUUUAAUCUGUAUUUGUUUCAUUGCAGAGUGGUUAGGAUGCUUUCAGAUCUAAACAUGAUGCUAAUAGAAAUUUGGUUCAUCUUAGCUUUGCAAUUUUUAGCUAUUAGGUACCUAACCAUUUUCUAAAAUAUCACCUUUUUAAAGAGACUACCCCAGGAAAGCUAAUACCUUAAUAGCUGGAACUGUUGCAAUUGUGAUUAACUUACAAUACUAUUCUUUCAAUUACAAAAUGUUUCUAAAAUACAUUUCAUGUUUCUGAAUUUUCUAAAAUAUAAUGGUAUAUGGUCCAGUGUCAAAACAAGAAGGGUAAAUGUUAUAUUGGAUAUUACAGUGCAGGGCUUCCAUGAAUGAAUUCACAAAAAUCCAGUUAUUUUUCUUCUACUACUUUUCUUUUUUUCCCCCAAGAAGCAUCCACUCUGUAUAUACAGCUUCAAAAGUUUCUUUGGAGCUCUUUUAUACUUUAGUAGGUUUGUUUUGGAGACUAUUUGCUAGAUGACUAUGCCGCAGACAUAUUUUUUUCAAAAGGUCAAGCAGUAUUCUAACAUGUCCAUUGUGUAUCACUGCAGUAAGAAAUCCUCAGUGCAAAGGAGAGCUUCAUGGUUAAAUUUUAAAAGAUAAUGAUUUAAAUCUUUUUGUUAGCCUCUUUUUUACAUCCUUAGCACUGCUUUUGGGGAGUCAGCUUUUAACACCGUAGAAAGCAGGAAGACCAUUAAUUAAAAAUAACAAACAGCUAAAGAUAAACUUAGUUGGUCACCUUUCCUGAUGAAAUUCUGGCAUUUAGCAGUGUUUUUAAGGAACAUAGUAACGAAUGAGUAGGAAUUGCACUAAUAUAAGGACAAAGCAAAACUACCAAUUACGGAAACAUCUAAGGCUCUGGGCCUGAAUCUUUGAUUUCCCAUAUGGAUCUUAAAAACAUAUGCAUAAUUAGCUUCUAACUGUGCAUAAUCUAGGAAUGUAUUCAAGAAUCAAUUACAGAUAUUUUUUAAGACACUGACUAAAUAUAUAUUCACUUGUCAGCAACAAAACACAUCAUUGUGACCCUCUCAAAAAAAAAUCUUCCAGCAAAGAAAAGUUAUAAUGUAUUUAAUAGGUCAUGUAUUUUCACUUUUAUACAGGAGUGAAGGGGAAAAUAGAGGAGAUGCUUGCAGUAUUUAAGCCUUCUUUGUGUUACAAGACUAAUCAAUUUAACUUCUGCUGCAUGCUUGAGAACUACGGUUUAUUAAUACAAGUCGGAAACUUUGCUAUGUUAUAGCAAAUAGCUAUGCCACUCAGGCUCAAUGUUAGUUCAAAACGUGUUCUUUGUGGACAAAGAGGGAGAGAAUUUACCAGACUCAAAAUACUGGUGAGAUUUGACUUUUCUCAAAAAAUUAUGGAAUAAAAUUAUGCCAGUGUGUAGCUUGAGGUCAUUUUGAAUGGAAAGGAGACAGCAACAGUUAUUAAUAAAUUAGUAUAGAAAAUACUGAUUAAAACACCUUGUUAACUGAUUGGAAUGAGAAAAAUUGCAGUACUCUGCAAACACGGUUCCAAGCAUCAGAAAUAGAAUUGUAAUUGGCCAACAAUUUGAUUAAAAACAAAGUUAUGCUUUUCUUUAAUGUUUCUAUUUUGAAUAUAUGCAAUAUACCUUAGUGUUUCUCUCUUUAAUUCAGUACAUGUGAAUGCCUGUAGCAGUUUAACUUUAUAUACCAGGUAUGUUUCAGAAACUGAAAAAAGUUUCCAGCUGAUUUAGCAGCUGAGGCAUUACUCGUCAGAAUAUCUGAUUACUGGCAUAUUAAGCAGCAGACACAGUGGAACAGAAUAAACAUGAAGCACUGCAUCUGCCAAAUACGUAUAUUUUAAUUACUGCUAACCAAAUGAAUAAAUAGCAGGAUGGCUUUGUAUUUAAAAUUUAUUGCAUGAUGAUAAACAGAAAUCCACAUUAUUGUUCCUUUUUAAAAUUUUGUCAUUAUCAGGUAUUGCACAGCACCUAAAUUUUCAUUUGAAA